CCCUUAGAUGUCCUGGGCCGCACGCGCGUUACACUGAUGCAUUCAACGAGCUUAUAACCUUGGCCGAGAGGCCUGGGCAAUCUUGUUAACGUGCAUCGUGAUAGGGAUAGAUUAUUGAAAUUAUUAAUCUUGAACGAGGAAUUCCUAGUAAACGCAGAUCAUCAAUCUGCAUUGAUUACGUCUCUGCCCUUUGUACACACCGCCCGUCGCACCUACCGAUUGGAUGGUCCGGUGAAGCCUCGGGAUUGUGGUUCUUGCCGCUUUAUUGUGGCGUGACCGCGAGAACUUGUCUAAACCUUAUCAUCUAGAGGAAGGUGAAGUCGUAACA
rnacentral:rRNA from 1 species